rnacentral:lncRNA from 12 species
CCCCCCCCCCCCCCCCCCCCCCCCCCCCCCCCCCCCACCAGUCCCCUUCCGGGAGCCGCCCCCACCUACCCCCUUUGUCCAGAGACAUCAGAGGUCCUGGGUGUGACCCAGCCAGCUCCAUCGGCAUGACAAUGGGAAAAUUCCCCAAAUUGACACAGUAACAGAAAACACUCAACCCCCAACAGGGGAUAUGAGUGUCACUGAGGGGAGGGCAGGUGCCCCUGGUGUCACUGAGGGAGUAACAAGUCCCUAAAGUGUUAUAAGUAAAAUUUGGUUGAUGUUUGUUGUGUGUUGGGGUUUGUUAGUUUUGUAAACCAAUGUUAAUGUUUUAGCUCCAGGGGUGGAGUUCGUGGUUUUUGGGGGUUGGUUGAAGUGUUGCAAUGAGUUAAUUAGUGGCAAUUAGAGGUUUAAAGGGGUCCCGGGUGUGGUGUGGGCUGUUCCAGAGGGGCGUGGUGGUGCCUUGGGGUGAAGUCAGCCCAGUGACAGCGGCGCCACGGGCUGCGACAGGUGGAAGGAACUGCUCAAUCGCUCGACGGCCUGAGAGAAUGAACGCCACUGAUGACCAAUGGAAGCCCCGGAGACGGACCAAUCACCGCGAGGAUCCAAAUCCCACCAAUUGUGGACCGAGGGGAGGUUAUAAGAGGGAGUGUCGGGCGGCUGCUCGGGCUUGUCCCGCGGAGCUGGUUUUGAGCGGGGCGUCGGCUGUGUCAGGGGUGGUGAUACACUGUAUUGUUUUCCGGCUUGCUGAGGGGGGUCUCGGGCUUAUCUCGGGUCCUCCGCCGCGGCCUCGCACCGCGCUCAUCUCAGGCGCAGGGGCGGGACCUCAGUGGCGAGGUGUCCGCCAUGUGGGCAGCUCGGCCCCGCUCCCCACACAAAGCGGGGGCCCCCCCCCCCCCCCCCCCCCCCCCCCCCCCCCCCCGGGGGGGGGGUUCAGGGGGCGGCUCGGCCCCGCUCGCCUCGCGUAAGCGGCGAGGCACCUUGCGGAGUACCAGACGCCGUCAGGGAGUGAGACAUGGCGGCCCUCAGAGGAUUGCGCAGUUCGUGAGGAGAAAACACGAGAAGCCGAGGGACGACUGGGCAAGAGGAAGCUGGAUGAACGGCAGCUUCGAGUUCAAGAGUGGGAACGGCGAGGCAAGAGCGAGCUUGGAGCUGAAGAAGGAGCACGAGAGGCCCUCUGGGCAAAAGGCCUUAGUGGCAUGGCCAGGGUACCUUCAAGGUGCCGUGGCUGACUUUGCUGGUGCUGGGCGACCUCCCUGUGUGCAGAGGUGGGUCUUUGCUCUGGUUGGCCUUUUGCCGUUAUGCUUCUUUGGCUGCCUGGAGAGAGGGGCAGCCCUGUAAGGAGGGUGAUAGCCCCUGUCUCCGCACCUGAGGGGGGAUACGGAGCUCCCCGAGCCCCCAGCCCAGCCGCCCUGUAAGCAGGGCAGGGCUUUUCCCCAGCCGUGGCAGCUUUCUGCCUGCUGCUGGCCCCUGGCCAGCGUGACCCCCCGUAGUCGGGGCGCGUCACAGCCUUUGUCCCUGAAGCAGCCCUGAAUUGCGUCGAGGCCCCUGUGCCCUCCCCACGGUGCAGCGCGGUGCAGGUCUGAUGCUUUUGUUUCCCACUGAGCAGGAGGGAUGGCUCCCUCGAGCCCUUGGGCUGCACGGAACUCGCUCCCUCUUCUGGGACUGCCUUCCCCUCCCUCCCUCCCUCCCUCCCUUGUUUUCGCGUUAGGUGGUGUGAAUGAGCCCGGGGGGUUUGUGCUGUAGCGCCCAUUUAGAAAUAGAGCAGCGUAGCUUAGGACUUCCCCGGGCUCCCCCCCCCCCCCCCCCCCCCCCCCCCCCCCCCCCCCCCCCCCCCCCCCCCCCCCCC